rnacentral:rRNA from 1 species
CCUACGGGGCGCAGCAGUAGGGAAUCUUCCACAAUGGGCGAAAGCCUGAUGGAGCAACGCCGCGUGGGUGAAGAAGAUCUUCGGAUCGUAAAACCCUGUUGUUAGAGAAGAAAGUGCGUGAGAGUAACUGUUCACGUUUCGACGGUAUCUAACCAGAAAGCCACGGCUAACUACGUGCCAGCAGCCGCGGUAAUACGUAGGUGGCAAGCGUUAUCCGGAUUUAUUGGGCGUAAAGGGAACGCAGGCGGUCUUUUAAGUCUGAUGUGAAAGCCUUCGGCUUAACCGGAGUAGGGCAUUGGAAACUGGGAGACGUGAGUGCAGAAGAGGAGAGUGGAACUCCAUGUGUAGCGGUGAAAUGCGUAGAUAUAUGGAAGAACACCAGUGGCGAAAGCGGCUCUCUGGUCUGUAACUGACGCUGAGGUUCGAAAGCGUGGGUAGCAAACAGGAUUAGAUACCCUGGUAGUC